rnacentral:rRNA from 1 species
UACGUAGGGUGCAAGCGUUAAUCGGAAUUAUUGGGCGUAAAGGGCUCGUAGGCGGUUUGUCGCGUCGGGAGUGAAAACAUCGGGCUUAACUCGGUGCUUGCUUUCGAUACGGGCAGACUUGAGGCAUGCAGGGGAGAACGGAAUUCCUGGUGUAGCGGUGAAAUGCGCAGAUAUCAGGAGGAACACCGGUGGCGAAGGCGGUUCUCUGGGCAUGUUCUGACGCUGAGGAGCGAAAGCGUGGGGAGCGAACAGG